CCCCUUCAUGGUUUUAUAGGUGACGUAAUUGUUUUGGUUUCUUGAGCACAAUAAAUUUAUUCACUGGUUGAACUCCAGAUGUUUUCGUGUAAAAAAUAUGGUUUACAUACAUGAACAUCUGCUAAUCUGGUUUAUGUGUUAGAAGAAGACUAGGAAAACAGUUUCUUGACUACUUUUAUUUGUGUAGGAAAAUGUUCCUGAAGUUCCGGUGGAGAAUGAUUUCUUGUUAAAUGGGGAGCUCGACGGGGAGGAUGUACAUUGAUUCAUUAUCCUCUGUGUCCAUAGUCAGUUAAAGUAUGUAUUAGUUAGACUUUGUCGGAUGGUUAUUUAUUAGCUUUAGUUUUAUGUAAUCUUUUGGUAUGUACUGUUUGAUUGAGAUCAAACAGGAGAUGAUGUAUAGGGUUGUUGGACAGGUUGUGUAAAAUGUUAUAUCUAUUUUUAUGCAGCUUUGAUAUAUUUAUU
rnacentral:lncRNA from 1 species